rnacentral:lncRNA from 1 species
ACAUGUAUUAAUCUGUUUUUUUUCAUGUGAUACACAUGUAAAACAUGGAGAAAAGCACAGGGAUUCUCUUUUUCCCCCAUCAGGGACUUCACUUCUCCAAAAUCUCCUUCGAGAGUCCCCCCGGAGCAGAAAGGAGGAGAAAAGGAGAAGAGGAGAAGCCAGGCUGAGCCCAGACCCCGCCCCGGGGCUCAGGAUGCCAAGGUGACUGAGCCCCAGAGAACAGAAGGCAAAGUUUCCACGCUGGAGCAGCCCCCAAACCAAAGUCAGCAAAACAAACGAAGGCCAAAAACCAAAACUUGUGACUAUGAAAAGAUGAGGGAUCCUGUGGAUUUGAAGAGGGAUUCUAAAGCCAUGGAGGAUAAAGGUUUCUGUGCUGGGCCACAGGUGGAUGUCAACCCAGAUAAAAAAUCCUUUGGACUGGAGGCUGAUGGAACUUUGCCCGAGAGGAAUAAACCUGUUUUAUUACCCCUGCUGAGAGCCUUGAAUACUCCAGAAUUCCCGGUGGAUUUCAGCUCGCUGCCGGAGGAGGUGACGGCCCUGGCUCGGCUGGGCUGCAGAGCCCUGCUGGAGAAGCAGUGCCACGGGGCCGAGCGAGCCUUUUCCCAGCUCCUGGGCGUCCUCUGCACCGCGGGAUUUUCGGUACCACCACCAGCAGCAUCCCCUUCUUCCUGCCAGGGAUGGAGCCUCCUGCCUCACCCCUGUGCCACGCCGCCCUUCCCCCAGAAAAGGCAUC